UGACCCUUAUUAAGCCGAGGGUCACCUAGCCAACUGACGUUGUUAGUGAAUAAUGACUUGUUCACACAUAAAUACGGCCAAACACCUGAUUGUAUUUGGCCUUUUUUUU
rfam:Vibrio vulnificus YJ016 DNA, chromosome II, complete sequence.